rnacentral:lncRNA from 1 species
AGGAGGCCCGCGGGAGCGGCGGGCUUGGUGGGUCUCGGCCAAAGGCGUGGCCCCGCGCCCCCUGAGGAAACAAGCGCCUAAGUGGUCGCACGGGCAAAUAGCCGGUUCCUAGCGCCCUAACCAGCCUCCCAGGCCGAGCGACCCAAACAGUGCAGGCCUUAUCUAGGCCUCGGGCCCCGGAAGGCAGCCGAGAAGGGACAAAACGUCUCGCCUCAGUGUCGAAGGCCCGUAUUCCAACAACCGCGGGCCCCAAGCGUCGAGGUCUGGAGUCCGUGCGGCCUAAGGCAAACAGGCCAGCGUCCAAGCCCAAGAUGCCCAUCCCCAGCUGGGAGCUGUUUAUUUAUGGCUGCAAAUGUGUGCGUGCGAGAGAGAGGGAGAAUUGAUCUUUGCCUGGACUUAAAGAUGGAGCCGAAGGCGCUGGAGGGAAUUUGGGUUUACGCGCCUAGCUCAGACCGGGGCGCUGAAGGGGGCCGUUUGGCACGAAGCCCGAGGUCGCUCUUUUCCGCACCCCUCACCUCGCGACCUUUCAGGAAUCUGAGGGGUCCUGAAGCGGCCUGGCUGACCCACCUCCCCGGGGCCGAGCUUCGAGAAAGGCUUCAUGGAGGGAGCCAUCCCGUCCCUGUCUUUAAAAUGAGCGCAAUAAAAGGGGGCAAAUCCUCAAACGUGAACCUGAUCACUUGUCACAGAAGCAACUUGCCAUGAAAUCCGCUAAUGCGCCGCGACUCGCCCACCCGGGCUGGUUCCCGCUUUCUAAAUCUCCCAGGUGGCUUGUUGUCUCUGCAAAUCCAACACAAACGUACUCAGGAUUAUCUCAGGCCACUGUCCUUGCAGCACUGACCAUUAUCUCGAUGGAAGAACGAGCUCCUCUGGUCAGAGAGCAUAAAGCGGCGGCUAAAUUCGUG